rnacentral:tRNA from 1 species
GCCCGGCUAGCUCAGUCGGUAGAGCAUCAGACUUUUAAUCUGAGGGUCAUGGGUGCGAGUCCCAUGUUGGGCG